rnacentral:rRNA from 1 species
GAAUAUUGCACAAUGAGCGAAAGCUUGAUGCAGCGACGCCGCGUGAGGGAUGACGGCUUUCGGGUUGUAAACCUCUUUCGGCAGGGAACAAGUCCAGGUUUUGGCCUGGUUGAGGGUACCUGCAUACGAAGCGCCGGCUAACUACGUGCCAGCAGCCGCGGUAAUACGUAGGGCGCGAGCGUUGUCCGGAAUUAUUGGGCGUAAAGAGCUCGUAGGCGGCUUGUCGCGUCUGCUGUGAAAACGCGGGGCUUAACCCCGCGCUUGCAGUGGGUGCGGGCAGGCUUGAGUGUAGUAGGGGAGACUGGAAUUCCUGGUGUAGCGGUGGAAUGCGCAGAUAUCAGGAGGAACACCGAUGGCGAAGGCAGGUCUCUGGGCUAUAACUGACGCUGAGGAGCGAAAGCAUGGGGAGCGAACA